rnacentral:rRNA from 1 species
UACGUAGGAUGCAAGCGUUGUCCGGAAUUAUUGGGCGUAAAGAGCGCGCAGGCGGUUUGACAAGUCAGAUGUGAAAGAGGCCGGCUUAACCGGCAAGGGUCAUUUGAAACUGUCAGACUAGAGUGCAGCAGAGGAUAGUGGAAUUCCCGGUGUAGUGGUGAAAUGCGUAGAUAUCGAGAGGAACACCUGCGGCGAAGGCGGGUUGCUGGGCCGACACUGACGCUGAUGCGCGAAAGCCAGGGGAGCGAACGGG